rnacentral:tRNA from 1 species
GUGGCCUAAUGGUCAUGGCGUCUCGCUCACACCGAGAAGGUUCCCGGUUCGAUCCCGGGCN